GAUUUAUAUACAAAUCCAGAACCCCUAAAGAUACUUCAGGAAAGUUCUUCUAUCAUCCUCCCCCAAUUUGGUACCACAAACCCUAAUCUCUCACAAGCUCUUCUGCAAUCACCGUCACCACCAACAUGUCUCACUUCGGAAGGUCUGGCCCUCCGGACAUCACCGAUACCUACUCUCUCCUCGUCCUCAACAUCACCUUCCGGACGAGUGCGGAUGAUCUGUUUCCGCUUUUCGAUAAGUACGGCAAGGUCGUCGACAUCUUCAUCCCCAGAGACCGAAGGACUGGCGAGUCCAGGGGAUUUGCUUUUGUGCGAUACAAAUAUGCAGAUGAGGCACAUAAAGCAGUUGAGAGGCUCGAUGGAAGAGUUGUUGAUGGUCGCGAAAUAACUGUUCAGUUUGCAAAAUAUGGGCCAAAUGCAGAGAGGAUUCAUAAAGGAAGGAUUACUGAAACUCUACCAAAAUCGAGGCAUAGGUCAAGAAGUCGCAGUCCUCGGAGAAGGUACCGUGAUGACUAUAGAGAUCGGGACUACAGGAGGAGAAGUCGCAGUAGGAGUUGGGAUAGGUAUGAGCGUGACAGAUACCGCCAUGGUAGGGACAGAUACCUCCAUAGACGAAGCAGGAGCCCUAGUGCCAGUCCUGAUUACUACAGGAGCAGGGGAAGAGGACGCUAUGAUGAUGAUGAUGAUGAUUAUGAUGAUUAUGAUAGGCGGAGGCGGAGUCGGAGUCGGAGCCAUUCUUUUGAUAGUGCAUCCCCUGCUCGGCGUAGCCUUACACCUCAAAGGAGCCUUUCUCCGUUAAGCAGAAGCCGCAGUGUCAGCCCUUAUGGACAUGGUCGUGAUGGACGAUCGCCUAAUUCUCAAAGUGUUUCACCACGAGGUCGUCCUGCUGAUUCUCGAAGUCCAUCCCCUCGACAUUCAGAUGAUGAUUGACUUUUCUGGUUGCUAUGCAAUUCCUGGAAGCAUAUUGAUUCUUCUGGAUGUUCUGCUGAUGUCUGGUUCAUAUUGGUUUUAUCUGAACUUUGAAUUGCUAGUUUGGGUGUUGUGUUCGGGAAAAGAGUGAUUGAGGCAUGAUAGAGGAGGUUGAUUUGUAGCCGUUGAUGCUGUUUCUAGUCGUGAAUGUGAUGCUGUUUGCUGGUAUUAGAAGUAUGAUUGUAUUUGCAGUCAGCUGUUUGCUGGGCCAAUAAAUUAACUGGUUUUCUUCAACGAAAUGAACUUUGGUGGAUGCAUGUUGAAAGGGUCCUUACCUGUAGCUGAUGCUGCAUAUGAAUGUGAGAUGGACUUGUAACUCGUAUGAAUGUAAAAGGAUUUGUAAUUGCUACAUGGUGCAAGAUGAUGCUUCACAUAAGUUGGACAUGUGAUUUAUUGACACUGAUGUCGAUGUCAACUCUGAACUGUGGCCACUAACAAUGAAAGCCUGAUCACCUGUAUCAAUGUUGCAGCCAGAGUCAUGAGACAUGGUAAUGAAUUCAUGGCUAAUUUUUUUACGGUGUUCAAGACUAUAUAACCUGUUAGAAUAUAAUUUGUAUUGUUGAACUUGCUUAGAUCUUGCAUGACAAGGUUGUUUGUUUAGUUGUGAAGUGGUAGCUUAUCAGUAUUAUGUCAGUAUCUAGCUAAUAACCAGCUGUAAGUUUCCAUUUCGGCCAUUUUAUUAGGGGUUUUUGUUGUCUGUUAUGAGUCUGUCCCUGAUUGUAGCUUCUUAGCUAUACUUUGCAUGUGCCUAAGCUAUAAAAUAUCCGUUUGGAUUUGUGUGUUUUGUUGAUAAAACGGGUAUGACAUAGUUAAUGAGGGGGUCAUCAAGUUUCAACAUAAAUAAUUUCCUUGUUGAUUAUGUCAUGUGAUGCUCGGGUAUGCAUGUUAUCCUGAGUUUGUCUGUCCUUAAAUACCAGUCUCUAUUGCAUUGCUUUUGCUACUUAUGGACCAGUGUUUCACAAAUGGGGAAGCAAUGAUAUUACUGCAUCCGUCUUUGCUUGCACAGAAUUUGGUGCAUGCUUAUCACCACUGUGCUUCCUGGCUACUGGAUUAUUAUGUGGUUGCCAGUAAACAAAUUGGUGUGUGCUUGUGAGUCGAUCGUUUGUGUUCCGGUUGGCUAUUACCAUAUGUUUUUCUUGCUAAUUGUUCAAUGGACUUGCAUUACUCUUGCGAAGGUAUGCUAUCCAAUUUUUAGAUGCUAUUUCAUGUGUUUUUAUCUUGCAAGUGGAUGCAUGCAUCGUUGAGCUACACUAGCGAUUGAAACUGUUCCGGAAAUUGAAUGCUGAUGGGUCAUAGGUGCAGCAUCAUCUGCCUAGAAUGCAGGCUAAACUGAUUUUGCAUUCUCGGAACCAAUUGUAGUGAAGUGGGAUAGGUUAAUGUGCUGGACUUUGCAAGAAGCGAUUGUAGGGAACUGUAGGCCAGAUGUAUGUGCCUGAAGUUGCAAGAAACAAUUGCAGAACUGAGUGAGGACCAUUUGUGUUAGUGUGUUUCUUUUUUGGGUUCAGGGCUUGAAUUACCAGUGAUUUUGUUAAUGAAUUACUGCUUAUGCUGAGGUCAUGUUUUAACUA